GACGAACGCUGGCGGCGUGCUUAACACAUGCAAGUCGAACGGAAAGGCCCUGCUUUUGUGGGGUGCUCGAGUGGCGAACGGGUGAGUAACACGUGAGUAACCUGCCCUUGACUUCGGGAUAACUUCAGGAAACUGGGGCUAAUACCGGAUAGGAGCUCCUGCUGCAUGGUGGGGGUUGGAAAGUUUCGGCGGUUGGGGAUGGACUCGCGGCUUAUCAGCUUGUUGGUGGGGUAGUGGCUUACCAAGGCUCUGACGGGUAGCCGGCCUGAGAGGGUGACCGGCCACAUUGGGACUGAGAUACGGCCCAGACUCCUACGGGAGGCAGCAGUGGGGAAUAUUGCACAAUGGGCGGAAGCCUGAUGCAGCAACGCCGCGUGCGGGAUGACGGCCUUCGGGUUGUAAACCGCUUUCGCCUGUGACGAAGCGUGAGUGACGGUAAUGGGUAAAGAAGCACCGGCUAACUACGUG
rnacentral:rRNA from 1 species